rnacentral:lncRNA from 1 species
GGCUCUUUUUAGUCCACAACUCUACAUCCAUGGUAAAAUUCAUAUUUUGGUCAAGAUAAAUAUUUAAGACAUCUUUUCUUGUAAUGUCUGCAAGUUCAAAUUUUGAAUCUGACCUGAGUGUUGGGGUUAUUUUGGGAGUUGUUUGAUUCCUUGAAAUGUUUCCCUAAUCAUUAUACUAUUAAUUACCUAAAUCUUAAAUAUUUGAUUUAUAAUAAUAAAUAAAUAAUAUUCACCAAUUUUUAUCUAUUAUUUUUAUAUUUUGGACUGUAGCAAUUUAAGAGAAAUGUACAAAGCAAUGUGGUCUCCUUCAUAAGGCCCCAACUCUUGAGUGUGUACAUAUCAUUUCCUGUCCAUUUCACAGAGGCAAAUGGAAAACAGAUGGGGGACCUACAUAACAUUUCUAUCACUAACUGAUAAGAAAGAGACUGCAUGGAAAUACUAUUUGUGUAUUAUCAUGAUUAUUACUUAAUUAAAUAGAGAUACACUUAAUAAUUAAUUGUACUUGAAAAUAAAUUAAUUUAACCUGCAAUUCCUAUGUUGGAAAAUUCAAAAACAAGUUAUUGUUAUCACUGUUAGUGAAAUAAGUAUAUAUAUUCUAGUCACUUUUUAUAUGUUUAAAUGUAUAUAAAUAGCAACACAUAACAUAAAGUUAUAAAUUACCUAACAAUGCUAUCACAAUUUGAAUUUAAUUGAAUUUAAUAUGCCAUCUUUAAGACUCUUUAAAUAUAAAAAUAUUAAAUAUGUUGGAUUUCAGGGGGGUACAAAUACUGGCUUUAUGGCCCAAAUAAUCACCAUGCAUGCACUCUCUCAUCAGUAAUGAUACAUUUUCAUUUGAAAAAAAAAUUAAAAGAACAAUUCUGCCUCAAAAGUUAGAAAAAAUUUCUAAGUACAAUUCCCGCCUGAUAAAUUUGAACAAAAUCUUUUAAGUCCAAUUUCCUCCUAACAAACUUGAACAAAUAUACUAAGUCCAGCAUUCCGUCUAUGAUAUUUCUUUUACUAAAGAAAUCCUGUUAACUCAACAGGAAAGUAGUAAAUAUUUCGCCUAAGGUCUUUGAUACUUCAGGCGGAUUUUUUUCAAUAUUCCAUGUCCGCCUUAAUUCCGUCUAUAAGUCUUAAUUUUUAGGUGGAUUCCGCCUGGGUUCCUGCUAUUUUUAAGCGGAAUCCUCCUAAUAUUCUCAUACGGGCG